CAUUAUAAGUAUUUCUAAAUCAAUAUAAGUAUUUCUAAAUCAUUAUAAGUAUUUCUAAAUCAAUAUAAGUAUUUCUAAAUCAAUAUAAGUAUUUCUAAAUCAUUAUAAGUAUUUCUAAAUCAAUAUAAGUAUUUCUAAAUCAAUACAAGUAUUUCCCGAGUACGAAACAAUGGAGUUGUGUACCGUCUGUUUUUGUCUGUGACCAGUAAAUAGAAAACCUGUUGAUGCCAGUUUUCAUCUUAUUGCAGCAAUCGACUCAUCAAUUGUAGAUUAUAUCAUUAUACGUAAACUGGCCGGCCGGGCAAAUUAAUUGAAUGUUCAUAUGAUAGUAUUGAUUGCAGCAUGUUAAUUUUGAUAAUGAUGAGACACUCUAAGGUAUGUAUAAAUUAAAUAUCCCGCCUCGGAGGGUUUCAUCAAUAUAUUUUAUUUAUAAGUACUAAUGAGCAGUGAAUGGGUGUCAAGAAGGUCAUACAUCUUUAUGUCUUUUCAUUCAUUUGGGGAUUUGUUGACUCUGUCUCCAAUAGGGACAACAUCGUGACGAUGGCUUUAUUGCCAAUUCGCCGAUCCUUUUGGAUUCCAGUCCAACACGAAACUUUGUAGACAACUUAUUUCACAGUAAUUACUUAACACUAAUCUCGGGAGUAUAGCGAUAUCGAGGCAUCUUUGUCAUCUAUCGUGAUGACCAAUCGAUUGUUGACAAAAGAUUCCCUGUCGCAAAUUGUUGGACUGGCCACUUGACGCCCCUGUCAAUCCGUCGUACCUCCUCGGGGGCCCCAACCUUUUACGUCUGCUUCAUCAAUACCGUUAACUUGGGUAUAUAUAAUUGGGAUAAGCAGUGUAACAUCCUCAGGUUUUGGUAUUUGGUUUAGAGUAACGGACGCCAUACAGAAUGAACAAGUCUAUUUGUUUUAUAAUUGCUGUCUGUAUGAUUCUGUUCACAUUUUCAAAUGCUCUAUUUAUCAAAAAGAGCGUCUUUGACGACACGCCACAGGGAACGCUGGAGUAUUUUUCCAAACGAGGCUGGUGCGUUAACUUAAAACGAGACUGUCCCCUUGUGGUUGGACCAGGGAAGAUGGUACUGUGUAGUAUCCCAUAUUAUCAGCGCGUGUGCUGCAGAUAUUGCAGAGGAAGUUGACAAAUGCAAUAGUGCCAUAGGAAAGAUAAAACGUGCUCACGUAAACACGGGGGACGAAGCACCACAGGAAACGUGCAAUCAUACCAUCUAAUUAUAUGUCCUGUUUAUAAAGGCAAACUACUCAAUCAUUUUUCAAUUUUAUUGUAAAACAAGGGUAAAUAAAAUUGAACUAUCAAACAUCAAUAAAA